rnacentral:rRNA from 1 species
ACGGAGGGUGCUAGCGUUGUUCGGAAUUACUGGGCGUAAAGGGCGCGUAGGCGGCUGGAUAAGUCAGAUGUGAAAGCCCACGGCUUAACUGUGGAAGUGCAUUUGAAACUGUCCGGCUUGAGUAUCGGAGGGGAGUGUGGAAUUCCCGGUGUAGAGGUGAAAUUCGUAGAGAUCGGGAGGAACACCGGUGGCGAAGGCGACACUCUGGACGAAUACUGACGCUGAGGCGCGAAAGCGUGGGGAGCGAACAGG